GUCACCAUGGCCACCAUUCUGGUCUCCCCUCAGGGUUCCGCCGGCUGGUCUUCUCUGUCUGGCUCAGAGGCUCAGGAAAGGGAGAGGGAGGCCAAGCAGCCCAGAGUCUGGAAGUCAUGGCCAUGAACUUUCAGGAAAAUGUGACCCUGGCCAUGGCCGUAUUCACGAUCCUCGCUUCCAUCUACUUCUUCAACAAGGCUCAGCAAUGAGAAGACACAGGACCACCUAACCCAAGAGUCCUGCCUCUGUCCCAACCAUGACUCUGGCCUCUGAGACCAAAUAAAUGUGACUGAGUCAGCACACCCUGCUCCAUCUCACCAGGCUGGCAGGCACACCGCCUCCGGCCAGCUCUGUCUGAGGUCCAGGCUUCUGGAUAAACAUUUCAUUU